rnacentral:lncRNA from 1 species
AUUUAACGAAAUCUCUAACGGGAUCUUAAUGUUAAUUAACGAAUUAAGCCCGUUCAAAAGUCAAAAAGAUUACAUAUACAACAAAUACUGGGGGUAAUAGCCUUCCUAUCCCUAUUGCUGUAUGGUUUCUCACGCGGUGGUAUAGUAAAAUCAUUUAUACCAAAUAGACCCGUAAUCACUAAUCCCUUCGGAAUGAUCCACAAGUCCUUCAGGCCCAUUUGAGAAUUUUUU